rnacentral:rRNA from 1 species
CCAGACUCCUACGGGAGGCAGCAGUGGGGGAUAUUGGACAAUGGGGGAAACCCUGAUCCAGCGACGCCGCGUGAGUGAAGAAGUAUUUCGGUAUGUAAAGCUCUAUCAGCAGGGAAGAAAGAAAUGACGGUACCUGAGUAAGAAGCCCCGGCUAACUACGUGCCAGCAGCCGCGGUAAUACGUAGGGGGCAAGCGUUAUCCGGAAUUACUGGGUGUAAAGGGAGCGUAGACGGUUAAGCAAGUCUGGAGUGAAAGGCGGGGGCCCAACCCCCGGACUGCUCUGGAAACUGUGUAACUAGAGUGCAGGAGAGGUAAGCGGAAUUCCUAGUGUAGCGGUGAAAUGCGUAGAUAUUAGGAGGAACACCAGUGGCGAAGGCGGCUUUCUGGACUGAAACUGACGCUGAGGCACGAAAGCGUGGGGAGCGAACAGGAUUAGAUACCCCCGUAC